rnacentral:lncRNA from 10 species
GUGGUAUAGCUAUAUUAAUAUAAGACAAAAUAGACUAUUAGACAAAAAGGCAAAAAACCCCCACACCCAACACUGGUCACUACACAGUGAUAAAAGCUUAAAUCACCAGAAAAAUAUGAAAAUGAUAAACUUGUUUAUACCUAAUAAUAGAGCAAAAAUUAUCCAACUACAAGAGAAAAUUGAUAAAUUCACUGUAUUUAGAAUCAAAUGAUAACAAAA